GGGAACUAGUGGUAAAAGGACCUAAAUGGUGGAGGGGGUGGUGGGCAGGGUAGGGGUAAGGGACGAACCCUCGACGUAGGGAGGGUUCGCAAGGCCUGCCUUGCUCUCCUCAUGCCCACGCUUGUGUUGGUGGCUACGAGAAGCUGACAUCUAUUGGACAGACUCAAUUGUGGGGUCCAGAAGGUCACAACGACCAUCAUGCUCAAAGCUGUGAUCCUCAUUGGAGGAAGCCACCUCAUAGGGAGCCAUGUGUGUGGCUGGGGACACCUGGCCUCCCUCCCCACCCCCAAAUAAACCCCUGUGAACCUUG
rnacentral:lncRNA from 1 species